UACAGAGACUGCGAGCGUUAUUGCGGAGUUCACUGGGCGUAAAGGGUGCGCAGGCGGCCAAGUGUGUGAGGCGGUGAAAGCCCGGGGCUUAACCCCGGAAUUGCACCUCAAACUACAUGGCUAGAGCAUUGGAGAGGGUAGUAGAAUUCAUGGUGUAGCAGUGAAAUGCGUAGAUAUCAUGAGGAAUACCAGAGGCGAAGGCGGCUACCUGGACAAUUGCUGACGUCGAGGCAACGAAAGCCGUGGGGAGCAAAAGGG
rnacentral:rRNA from 1 species